AAAAUCAAUUCGGAUCUCUUUUGGUUUGGUUGGGAACUGGAUUUUCCGAAUAUCAAUUCCACUUUUAAGAACUAGAAAUCGGAUGAUCAUUUUCGAAAAUCGAAUUGAACUGUUUUGCUCACCCUUAUUAGUUAGAGCAUUUGGCGCUUGCAAAUUUGCACAAGUGUCAACUUGAUAUAAGAAAUUGAUAUUUGAAAAAAAAUAAUAAUCCAAUUUACUUUAUUACGAAACAUUUCAGCAUAUACGAUACUUUAUUACGAAACAUUUCAGCAUAUACGAUUUGGGAAAAGCAAAGUAUUACAAACAGGCUGUGUAAAUGUAUUUGAAGAGGUAAGGGACCAUUUCAAGGUUUGAAUAUUUUUAAGGAUUUUAGCAGGGCCAAAAGAGAUUCGAAUUUCAAGAGACGAAAUAGAACUUUUAAUUUACUCAUUUGCCAAUAAAUCCGAUACAUAUUAAAUUAGUAUUCAAGGAUAUAUAGCGUUUCUCUUUCGGGUAAGAAAAAAUGGGCAAAAUUCCAUUAUUCUCUAAUAAAACAUGAUUUAUAAAUACCUUGACAGAUCAUCUACCACUAAAGUCUCAUUUACAUCCAAAGAUUGAAGUUCCAACGAUGCUAACCAAUCUGCACAUGAAACUCAUUACCUAAAAGUAUGUACGAUUUUGACCGGUUGAAAAUACUCCAAGAACUAGGAAAAACAAAAAAAAGGGCACAAAACUUGAGAGAGAGAUAGUUGAAGAAGAAAUAAUUUAAAUCCCUUAGAAGUAUGAGGUAUUUUAU
rnacentral:lncRNA from 1 species